GCUCAGAUUGAACGCUGGCGGCAGGCCUAACACAUGCAAGUCGAACGGUAACAGGAAACAGCUUGCUGUUUCGCUGACGAGUGGCGGACGGGUGAGUAAUGUCUGGGAAACUGCCUGAUGGAGGGGGAUAACUACUGGAAACGGUAGCUAAUACCGCAUAACGUCGCAAGACCAAAGAGGGGGACCUUCGGGCCUCUUGCCAUCGGAUGUGCCCAGAUGGGAUUAGCUAGUAGGUGGGGUAACGGCUCACCUAGGCGACGAUCCCUAGCUGGUCUGAGAGGAUGACCAGCCACACUGGAACUGAGACACGGUCCAGACUCCUACGGGAGGCAGCAGU
rnacentral:rRNA from 1 species